CAAAAAGCUCGGAUAGCAUGUGAAAUACUUGCCAUAGCCAUGCCUGGGAGGAGGCAAGGGUAGCUACCAGGCAUGGACCUACCUCCUAAAGAGACCAAAGUUCUCCGCUACCAGCCCGGGAGGAAUCUGGGGCUGCUAUCCAGAACCAAACCUCUCUCAGGAGGUAGACAAAAGCCAUAGAGUUAUCCAAAAAAUUUCCAGAUGCAUGCCUGGGAGGAGGCAAGGGUAGCUACCAGGCAUGGACCUAGCUCCUAAAGAGACCAAAGUUCUCCGCUACCAGCCCGGGAGGAAUCUGGGGCUGCUAUCCAGAACCAAACCUCUCUCAGGAGGUAGA